UAAUUCCAUUUUUUUACUUUUAAUUUAUUUGCUCAUGCAAUCAAAAUUUUAAAUGAUGAAGUGACAAAAGUUGCCAGUUCUGAAAUAUUUGCUUACAUGUCUUUUCAUAUUGCACUUUGUGUGUAUAUACAUACAUACAUAUAUACGUACACAUGUAUAUAAAUGUAUGUGUAUAUCUACGUAUAUGUAUUUUUUAUACUUCUAUUGUUAACAUUUCUACAUUGCAUUGUAAAUUAUAUAUAUAUAUUUCAUCCUGUAUACAUAUGUUACAUCAUAUGUAUUUUUUAACCAAAUACUGUGAACCCCAAAAGAAAAUAUGAGACUUAUUUUCUUACUAAGUUCUGCCUUCCCCAAACCUAGCUCAGUGUCUGACGUAUAGUAGUUUGUCAGUAAAUGUUACAUUGGUCUUUAGUGUUUUUAUUGUACUGAGCCAACUGUUUACACUCUGUUAUAAUAACUAUAUUAAUUCUGAAAUACCUGAAUGGUAUUCUAGGGUUUCACAUAUAGAACACUUAGAAUAUUAAACCCUUCUUGAAAUGCUGUACUAAUGUUUAACAUAAUUAAUCUAAGAAACUAAAAGUGACUAAAACAUAAUUAUUUUAACAUUAAGAUGUUAACAAACUUAUUUUCCUAAUGUUUUCUUUUUUGUAUCUCUCCCCCUGAUUUCUCAAAUCCCCCAAUUUUAGAAUUAGACUGACUUAAGACCAAUACAAAGUGACUGUUUGUCUUAAGCUUAGAGUGAGAAUGACAAAUCCACUUUUCCUGCCAAGUCCAACUCAGGACAGGUAAAAAUUCUUUCCUGAGUGCUUGCAAUAUCAUAUGGCAGAUAGAUUGUAUAUAUGAAAGGAAUAGAGAUUUUUGCUUAAAUGUAGAAAGCACGGAUAUGAUGCAAACAAUGAAAAUGGUUAUUUUGUUAGCUAAAUACUUAGGGAAAGUAUGAAAAUGCAGAGGUCCUUAAAUUGCUACUUAUAAUAAAAAUCUCAGAGAAAAAAUUAAUUAUUCUUUAUUUGUGAUUCAUCCUAUGGUUGUAAAUAGACUCAAUAUUAUAGAGAUGUCAAUUCCUUCUAUAUUAAUCCAUACUUAGGUUAAUCAGAAAUAAACAAUAAUGUUUUUGAAUUAGAGACAUUUUAGAGUUUAUAUGAGAAUAAAAUCUGCAAGAAUAAUUAAGAGAAUUCUGGUACAGAGAAGCAAUGAAAGAAGGCUAGCUUUAUAAGGUAUUAAAACACAUGAUAAAGUCUCAGUAAAUGAAAUAGUAGGGAACUGCUACCAAGAAACAGAAUAAGAAUAAACCCAAAUACAUAUGGAAAAUUCAAGUACCUAGAAAAUGGUGUGAAUGCAACUAGAAAAGUAGAAAAAAAAUAAGUUAUCUUCAUAUAUCAACCCUUACACAGACAAAAUUCCAAGAUUGAAGGUUUAAAUGCACUAAAGUGGUAGCAAGUGAAGUAGUGACUAUAAUUUUAUAGUCAGGGGGAAGAUGGAUAUGCCAGUUAUUCUAGGCAAAAAUCAACAGAAACAUGUAGGUGAAGACAAAUGUUUUACUUGGGGGAGGAUGGAGAGAAGGGUAUCAAAAUUGGUUUGAGCUGGGAAGAAAUGAUGAGUUUGAGGUGAUAGAAACCUGGGGGUGUUAUAUAUACAAGGUAGGAAUUUCGUUUGAGGCUAAAAUGUUUAUGUUAAUUUGCAUAGAAAAGGCUAAGAGAAUAUGUAGUUAUUGGGGAAAAGAGCUAAGAUCCAAAGAAGGAACUUUUGGCUGGAGAGGGGGUGGUUUAUAGGAUGUCCAGGUCAUGGGCAGCACCACAUGUUGAACAGAGGUCAUCAUAUGUGCAGAUUUGGACAGGAGAUGCAGAGGUAGCAAAAUGAGCAUGAGGAGGUAUUGCUUCUAUUUUUCACACACAAUUUUUCUAUUUUACACACUACGACUUUCAAUAAUCUUCAAUUUCCCAUACAAAAAAAAAUGUUUACCUGGCAUUUAAAAGGAGAUUAUUUAUAGGGCUCUCUUAUUUUCUUUAUAUUUUAGUAAGUCCCCAAUUCAAAAGUAUUUGUCAUAUCAGUGUUAAAUAUUACGUAACCAUGUUGCCCCCUAGUCUAGUGAAAUAGAAAUUCUACUGGUUAGGAAAUACAUAGAUAGAACAGUUUAUUUCAGGAGGAGAAGAUAUGUUAUAAAAGGAGCUAUUAAAAAUCAGUUCUAGCAGGAGUGUUAUUCAAUAUGUUCUAAGUUAUGCAGAAGAGAAAAUGUAGAGUGAAAUUUUCAAGUUUGAAAUUCCAAAGAUUGGACCAUAUUAUGGAGAUAAAGUAAUAAAAUUAACCAUGGUGAUCCCACCUUGGCAAUCUUUUAGAACCCCAUAUGCCCUCUAUCCUUAGUCUUUCUCAGAUGACAGCAUUUUCUUAUUAAUGUCUUCAAUGCAAACACAUAAUUUCCAAAUUAAUUAAAAGUAUAAAAAAUAUAAUCAUAUUGUGUAACUUGGAUCUUAGUGAAACUUACCUACCCAAGCAUGAGGUUCUGCCCUUGGAGAAAUACACAGGUAAACCUAAUUUAGUAAAAUAAGUCAAUUAAAAAAUGCUGAUCUUAUUUCCACUAAUCUUCGUUACAUUAUUACUUGUUAUUUUAUCUCCUUUGUAAUGUGAAACCUUCUUGGAGGCAGGGACCAUGUCUUAUUUUUAUAUUUGUAUACAUCUUUCUAUAUGGUUAGGAACUCUGCUGAGUCUUUUAUGCAUUACUGUAUGUAUUCCAUACUCCACACUAUCAAGUGGGACAUAUUUACUAUUACUACUACUACUACUGUUAUUAUUAUUUUAUUUGAGUUUUGCUAGUGAGGAAAUGGCCUCAGAGCUUAAGCAACUUUUUAAAGAUAAAACACAACUCUUUGACUCCAAAGACCAGAUUUUUAACCAACUUGUGGUAUUGCCCUGGUACCUGAACUGUAUUAAUGUUCUUAAUAUAUUUAUGGUUUAUAGGGAAAAAGGGAGCCAAAGAUGCUAAAGGGUCUUCCAGCCAAGUUAGGACAAAAAUAAACUAUAGAUGUUCAAUAUGGGAUCAUGAAGAACUAAGAUAUUAAGCUCUUAAAAGUAUUUUGAAGUCCAUGAUAUCAUCGAUGGAUGAUAAUAAGUAUGCUUAAAAUAUUACUUUUGCUGUUUUUAUUUGAAUCCUAAAAAGAACAUAGAACAAUGUAUGGUAGAUAUAACACAUCUUACUUCAAUAAACAGAGCAUGGUUUUAUAACUGGUAUAGUGAAAUCAUUGAUAUGAUCAGUUCUUACUGCUGUGAUCAGGCAAAUCGGGGGGUGGCCAUCUGUCCUGGAUGCUGUUGAAAUAAGUCUUGAUGUGGUGAGCUGGCCUCUUCCAUGGGUCAUAAAUCUACAGAAUAUAUAUAGAUCUCUAUCAUGUUGAGCGUUCAGGGAUUUCAGUUGACUUGAGAAAAGUGAAAUAGGUAGAGCAGGAACAUUAGCUCUUUUUGUUCCCUAGGAUCAGUUUAGAAGUAAACCUCUGAUUCACUUAGAACACUGGUAUUUUUGUAUACAUUUUUGGAGGCAGAUCUGAUUGCAGUUGUAAAUUUACUGAAGGGCUAAAGGCAUUGUUGGCAUCAAACCACUUACUAUUGGUAUAAGUAUUACUAAUUAGUAUUAUUCUACCUAUAAAUAUGAAUGUGAUAUUUAAAAUAAUUAGAAUGAGUCACAGUACAAAACUUUUUCCUCUCCAACUUUGUAUUAUAUUUUAUAUGUGCUUUAUUAUUGUAGAUGACAGGUACAUAAAAGUUAUAUAAUCUUGUAGAAAGUGAGAAAAUGGUCAUUUGACCCUGGAUGUAAUGAAUAAAGUGGAUCAGAGAAAUUUUCACAUAGGUUAUUUUUGUAGUCAUCGGACUUGACUAUGUAGAAAGAAUUAGGUGACAUAAAGAUAAUUUUUGAUAAGGAGCCAAGAGCGACUCUAAAAUUGCACAAUAUCAAAUUGUCUGAAGAAACCCAUUUGAAUAUGUGUUAUGGAGAAGAUUGAAAAAGUCAUAUCACCAUAUUUUGUUGAUUCAGUUUAGCCUAUGUAUUUAUAUUUAGAUAUAUGUCACUAGAUAUAUCAAGAUAAUAGAGCAUUUACUUUUAUGUUUUAUCCAUAUUGCAUAAUUAUCUGGAACGAAUUCUGUUACUUUGACCUCAAAUGUUUAAUGCAACAAGCAGAAAUAGAAUAUUAUUUUGCUUUAGGAAUGAAAAAACAAAACCAGCAGGUGCCUGAGAUUGAGUACUCGAAAUUACCAUAAUUUUAAGGCAAAGUGCCUCAUGUAUCUUAGACCUCAUCCCUCCUUUUUCUGACAGCUGACACUCAUUCCCUCUCGAUGAGGAAAUAAGUAGUCGGUGAGUGUCCGUGAUGUCAAGGAGCUGUCAUCAUCUCCACGGUGUUCCCUUGGUUAGGCAGGGCAGAAAUUAAAGGUGACCAUGCUGACAACCCAGUCUGCUCUUCUGUGCAGCCAGAAACAUACAGCAAAGCAGUUUGUGCUGGGGCUAAGUUCAGGCUUCUUAUUUUACUAUUGUGAGGAAUUCAUAGUUAAAUACACAGUACUAUUCAUAUUAUUUCUCUUAAGAAAGGAGGAGAUGAAGGUAUAUUUUUCUCCUUACUAAGAAGGUUUCAAAGAUUACAAUUAAAUCAGUAUUCGUUGGUCAGGUAGUCCUACAGAGGAAAAAAUAUAGAAACACUGAUAGUCUGGCCAGUUUUGAGCUAAUUUCAAGUAUGUAUUAGGUCAGAUUUUAAUUGCCUAUAGAAAUAUUUCCCAAGACUCAAGUCUUUAAUAUGUUUCUAGGCUUAUUUCAAUCAAAUAUUUCUGUCCCAUGAAUCCACGAUCCCACAUCUGCUUGAACCGCCCCCCAGCACCACCCAAGCUCCUUUUCUUAGUGGUACUUUUCACCUAUGUUGAUAGGCCCUUAGCUGGUGUUACCCAACUCAAUAAGCCUAAAACCUAUCUUCCCAAAUCAUCUAUUGACUAUGUUUUAUCACACGUUUCUUACCAAACAUAAUACUUUGCUUUCUCUACCUCCAAAAUCUUAUCAAUUUUAAAAAUUCUAUUCAGGAGUUCCCAUUGUGGCUCAGCAUAGUGAACCCAACUAGUAGCCAUGAGGAGGCAGGUUCGAUCCCUUAUGUUGCUCAGUGGGUUAAGGAUCUGGCGUUGCUGUGAGCUGUGGUAUAGGUCACAGACGCAGCUCAGAACCCACAUUUCUGUGGCUGUGGUGUAGGCCAGCAGCUGCAGCUCUGGUUUGACCCCUAGCCUGGGAAAUUCUGUAUGCUGCAGGUGCGGCCCUAAAAAAG
rnacentral:lncRNA from 1 species